rnacentral:rRNA from 1 species
GAUGAACGCUGGCGGCGUGCUUAACACAUGCAAGUCGAACGGAAAGGCUCCUGCUUGCAGGGGUACUCGAGUGGCGAACGGGUGAGUAACACGUGGGUGAUCUGCCCUGCACUUCGGGAUAAGCCUGGGAAACUGGGUCUAAUACCGGAUAGAACGAUGGUUUGGAUGCCAUUGUGGAAAGUUUUUUCGGUGUGGGAUGAGCUCGCGGCCUAUCAGCUUGUUGGUGGGGUAAUGGCCUACCAAGGCGUCGACGGGUAGCCGGCCUGAGAGGGUGUACGGCCACAUUGGGACUGAGAUACGGCCCAGACUCCUACGGGAGGCAGCAGUGGGGAAUAUUGCACAAUGGGCGCAAGCCUGAUGCAGCGACGCCGCGUGGGGGAUGACGGCCUUCGGGUUGUAAACUCCUUUCGCUAGGGACGAAGCGCAAGUGACGGUACCUGGAGAAGAAGCACCGGCUAACUACGUG